rnacentral:tRNA from 1 species
GCAGAUGUGGUGGAAUUGGUAGACACGCAAGCUUCAGGUGCUUGUGCCCAAAAAGCGUGAGAGUUCGAGUCUCUCCAUCUGCACCA